rnacentral:rRNA from 1 species
AUAUCAAUAAGCGGAGGAAAAGAAACUAACAAGGAUUCCCCUAGUAGCGGCGAGUGAAGCGGGAAGAGCUCAAAUUUGUAAUCUGGCGUCUUUCAGGCGUCCGAGUUGUAAUCUAUAGAAGUGUUUUCCGUGCUGGACCAUGUCCAAGUCCCUUGGAACAGGGUAUCAAAGAGGGUGACAAUCCCGUACUUGAUAUGGCCACCAGUGCUCUGUGAUACACUUUCUACGAGUCGAGUUGUUUGGGAAUGCAGCUCAAAAUGGGUGGUAAAUUCCAUCUAAAGCUAAAUAUUGGCGAGAGACCGAUAGCGAACAAGUACCGUGAGGGAAAGAUGAAAAGCACUUUGGAAAGAGAGUUAAACAGUAC